UCACUAAUGGAAACUUCAUUUAAUAUUUACAAAACAUUGACAGGGUGAUUUUACAGCCGUUUUUAAAUUUUUUUAGACUCAGACAGACGGAAGAUUAAACGUCAACAGAGAGUUUCUGGUGAUCAGAAGCUGAGAGAAAUGUUUUUAAUGAACACACAAUUUAUUCCCACAGACACACACACACACACACACACACACACACACACACACACACACACACACACACACACACACACACACACAGGGAGUAAAGGAAAUACAACCAGAUAAAGGAGGAAUGUAUGUAUCAUUCACACAACACAACAUUAUGCAACUGUGACGUGUUAACUAAAGGUUUAGACAUGUGGAGCUGCAAUUUCUGGGUGGUAUGAUGAAAGAUACACACACACACCUACACACGCAAACUCACACACUUAUAGACUGUGAUGUUGAAAUAUACGGGGUUGAAUGUGUGUGCAAUUUCCUUGCCAACACUGUGAGCACUGUUUGGCCAAACAAUAGCACGUUAUGUAAGGUGGAGUUUGCAGUAACUGUGAUAAAUAUUCCUAAAAAUACAUCUCUGACAAGUAAACACACUCUGAACUUAAAAAAAAACAACUAAAUAUGAUUGUUUUCAUCAGUUUUUCUGCUCCUUUAUAAAACAAAAUAAUGGGAUCCAAUAGAAGCUUCACUGUAGUAAACUUCCCCAACAUUGAUCGAUCACAGAUUUAACUCAAGCUCCUUAAACUUCAACAUAAUCUCUGUUUGAAAACAUCAAAUCUUUGAGAGCCAAAUGUCAGAGUGACUUCAGCUGAAGCAGUCCACUGAAGCUGUCACAGGUCCAGUAUAAUCAGUAGCUCUCUUUAUGGUCUCUAUGGCUGUAAAUGUUACAGGUGAAGUAGCUCCUAAUCAAGCUUUACUGCUUUAUGAGCUGUUACUGAGUCUGUUUGACCUUUGGUACUGACCAGCACGCUCACGUCUCGGCAUGUGAUGUGCCGCUCUGUGCCUUUGAACAGAGCGCCAUCAGUGAUCACAUCCACCUAAAUUACCCCACAUGAAAAGAUCAGGUUGGAUAGUUGAUGGUGUGAAGAUGAGCUGAUGAAUAUUCAGCGGUUUAUUUAAGGUUUGGGAUGACAACAUCAGCUAGAUUACUUUGACCCUUGUGAUCCUCUGAGUUUUCUCUCUAGUCUCACUGUGAGGGUGACAUUUUUAAUCUUAAAAGUCAUAAUAAUAUUAAUAAUUACUUUUACCCAGCUGUAGUAAAUACCUUUGAUACUGACUGCUGGUUUAUGGAUCAUCAGUAAAGGACAGAAACAGCCUGAACCAGAUAGUAAAAGUCUGCUCCAAAAUUAUUAGCGUACAGCUGAUGAACCUGAGCUCCAGAAAGCCAGAGGAAUUAUGGACCAGCCAGGACACAUCCUCUACUCCGACUUUUCUCUUAUGCCCUCUGGGAGGCGCUACUAUGCACCCCCAUGGAAAAAGAUUGGUACUCUAACUCAUUUAUCCCCUCAGCGAUCAGGCUGCUAAAUGCUGGGAAGUACCUGAUUGGUGGCCUGUGUGGAAAUUGGGGUCUCUGGGUUGUUUUAGUUCUUAUUUUACUUCUUUUAUGGCAUUGCUUCUUAUUGCAUUUUAGCCAUUUCACUGUUGAACGUAUUCAGCAUGUAUUUAUUUAUUCUAUUUAUUCAUUUAUUGCUGAUUUGUGGUGCUGACAGGAGAAUGUUUAGGCCAUAUGCUGCUGUGAAUGUCUGGCAUUUGUCUGUUCCUUGAUCGUUUAAAAACCAGGUGGGUUUACUGUGAAAUGAACUGUCCUUCGGAGAUUAAUGAAAUUGUCUGAAUCUAAAUACUCAAUUCUUCAGGAGCAACCUGACCACAUACAUUACAUUGAAUCAAUCAGCUGAAGGGUCCAGCACGCUUCACCUCUGCCUGUUGACACUAAGUCAAAACAAACAUUUCCAUUAGCUUUCUAAAUUAGCAGGCUAAACGAUAUGGAAGGUGUUUUGAUUGUACUUUUAAGUAAGUUAUGAAGCAGAAACUUUGGAUUCAGGAUUAAUGGAUAAAAACUCUCCAAAAAAAAAAAAGAGAGAGAAGAGGAAAUCAGUGCUGAAACAGUAUGAGAGAUGUCCACCAAACUCAGCUCGACAAACACAAAGCAAAAACAAACUGUUGAAAGAUCUAGAUUGGGGGAUUGUUCAAGGACUGAUUGAGGGAACAGAAAAUGACAAUAGACUUAAAAAGGGAAGAAGCAGUCGAGGCUUAAAUCUGUGACUACAGUUGUUUUGUGCAUCGAUGCAACAUACCAAGAAAGAAACUGCUAAUAGCUUGACUUCUCUGUGAAUGAAACGUGAAGUUUAAUGUGUUUGUCAGACAGGCAGGUUAAGGUUUUAUAUUGGAUUGAAUUGUUGGGUUGAUUAAUCCCACAAGCAGGCUGAUAUGGAUCUGUUACCAUGGAAUCAAUGCAUCAUUCUAAAAUCAAUUAAACUUGUCUUUUUAUACAUAUUUUAUGUCAUUUUAGCUGUAACUUCCCACUGAGCAACAGACGACUAUUAAACAGCUAGUUUUUCAUUUUCCUAAUUCCAACCGUCUAGAUUCUGUAUAUUUUUAGACGUUGCACUUAAACCCUUCAACUAUUUAUUUCAAAAAGCAACUGUGAGUCGCAUGACUGAUUUCCAAGUACUUAACCAAAAUAAUUAUGAUAGCCGUUGAGCAAUAGACAAUGCAGUAUAGAUAAAGCCCAAAUUUAGACUUGGUCUAAACUUGGUCUAAAUUUAGACAUCUAAAAAACGUUUAUUUUUAGACCUGUGGUAGCCUGAUUUCAGACCAGUCGUCUAGGCUACAUUUAGACGUCUGUCAGACCUCUUUUAAAAAUGCUCAGUGGGUUCUGUUGUCGAUAUAAAAAAAUAAGCAGGAUAAUACAUACUAAUGUUGUAGGAUCACCAAGAGGACUGUUAGAAUCAGCUGCUCUCUAUAAAGACAAAGAUAUUAUACUAAUCCAGAGCGGGAAAUUGCACUGUUACAGCAGCUCCAGUCACAGUCACAACACAUCAUUCAAUAAUGGACAUUAAAGUCACAUCGCUGUGUCUUAACCCUCACUUGGAUAGAUUGAUAUAAUAUUUACGGCGUCCCUAUCCACCUUUAUCACUCGAUGAAUGAGGUAUCCAGAGUUUAUGCAAAACUUCACCCGAUCUUCUGUAUCAAUGGAUCACUGACAAUAUUAUAAUGGAGUGAUACCUUUUUAUAUUAAAGUGUGAAUUAAAACUAAAGGCUCUAAAGAAAACGAUCAACUUUCCCAGAGGAAACCCAAACCAUUACACCCUCAUCCCAAGUUCUUUGCUCUACCGAUAAGUUAUGCAGCCAAAACAUGAAGUUAGAUGCUAAAGAUGGGUGGCAAGAACCUGUGCAUCAACAGGUUUAUCAUCUGGACAUCUUACGUCACCAGAAUUUUAUCAAGUUAAACCUUGAGGAGGUUCAACAAUCAGCUUGAGUGUCCUGCAAACAACCCCAACUCCUCCCAGAUGUUGUCUGUCUCCUUCUCCGGUAAGAUAAAUAUCUGCUCCUCACAACAGCAAUAUUUAGAACCGAAGAAGCUUCUUGGAUAAGAGGCCAAACAUCUUCUCAACUCUACACAGUCCAGUUGCCUGAUUUUGGAGUCUUCAGGAAAACCGUGACCUGGAUGAUUGAGAAUCUAGAUGGACUCAUACCAACCGUUAUACCCACAGGUGGUAGAAGAGGGAGGACAGAGACGGUAAAGCCAGGGUGAGGAGUCCCGUCACUCAUGUUCUAGCUGGGAGUAUUUCUCAUAAAUCUGACACUGUUUUGAGCAGCAAACUCUGAGGGGCUAAUCACAGAAAUGGUUGAAUUGUUUAAUGCUGAACAUCACACUCACUGCUUUCUCAGACAACAUAGUUAGGAUCCAUAUAUGACGUUGACAUCUCCAGUUUUAAACGCCAUCUCCCUGGCUCUCUCUCUCUCUCUCUCUCUCUGGAGUGUGUCUCACCGGGGUUGUGGGAGGAUACAUGCAUGUGGUGGAGCUCAGUGCAGGGCCGGGCCGGGCCGGGCCGGGCCGGGGUGGAGUGUGGAAGGAUAAAUAGAUGCCAAGUCAAAUAAAACAAAACUUCGAGCAACGGCACGACCCCUGGCGCUGCGCUCAGCCUGGCAGUGAGACACAUAAACACACACUCAUGCGCACACACGGUAGGCGUCCUCUUGGUGAUCCCUCUCACUCUCUGUUCACUUGACCACAGAAUUAAGAAAACCUCCACACAGAUGCAGAUUUUCGACCACUCAUGAAAGAAUCAGACAGAGCAGGUGCACACAGAAACACAUGAUGGUCGGGCCGUCAGCACAGGCAUGCACAGGACAUGGGCAGGGCUGCUCGGUCAGGGGUUCUAAGGCUUUCAAAUAAAAUCCACAUGAGCACCACAGAAAUCCUGACAGAUUAGUGGAGUCUAAGCGAGGCUGGCUCUGGUGGUCUGCAGGGUGUGCCCACCUCAUCAGCAGGCGUACGGUCUACUUGCUGAUCGCUCUCAUUAGGAGUGGAGGGUGUGCACCUGAACCUGACUCUCUUUGUAGCUGCUUCAUGGAAAUCUCCACUGAGGAGGAGUGUUUGUUUAGGAUCAGCUCUUGAGCUGUGUCUUUAAAACAGAACACUCAGGAGCACCGACAGGAUUAAUUACAGUCUUUUGUUAAUUACAGUUAUUCUUACGUUGAUCCCCGUCCAAGUCUGGUGUUUUGACCUCGCCGAGGUACGGUCAAAGGUCGUUUAAAGAGCACGAUUUCUGAGACUGCCAACAUAUGAGAUGAGCCUUACUUUGAUACUGACAGCAGAGGUGCAGGAAUAGAAAUACAAGAGUGGGACUUUAAACUCAUGAGCCUCACCGAAGCAAACAAAGCAAGAGCCGGCAGGUCGGUCUUCAGCUGGUGAAGAUUUUAACGAU